rnacentral:lncRNA from 1 species
UGAAAGUCAGUUAGUCAUGCAUAGCUUCCCGCAUAGUGAUGCCUUUCUCUUUUGCUUAUCUCAGAGAUCUUUGGCAAGAUAGCAUACUGUAUGUGUAAAACAGCAGUUCUCAAAGUGUGCCUGGAGCAGCAUCAGCAACAUCACUUGGGAAAUGAGAAAAAUGCAGAUUCCCUGAUCCCACCUCUGACCUACAGAAUCAAAAACUCUAGAAGUGGGCCUCUGUAAGCUGUGUUUCAACCAGCCCUCCAGGUAAAUCAUGUUACCAUUUUGGACUCAAUUUCCUCAACAUUAAAGCAAAAGGCUUGAAUUAUAUCACCUGGAGUCUGAACUUAAGAGAUCUAUGACCAUCAGCCAAUGAGCCAAUAUCAUACUCUCUUCCAAAGUUCGCGUAUGGAUAAAUAAUGAAAGACAGGAUCUGGACUAAAUAGAGGAAGGUAAGAAAUUAGGUCAAGUUUCACCAAAGUGACCCAUCAUCAGGCCAACUUCAUGAGCAUAUGUUUGGUUUACUAUUUGGCUGUUGCCAGCUCAAAAUUCUUAAUACUUUUUGAACAAGGGGCCUCACCAUUUCAUUUUGCACUGGGCCCUGCAAAUCAUUUAGCCAGUUCUGAUCAUCAUACUUAAGAGAAAUGAGGAGUUGCCCUUUGGCCCCUCUUGGAUUUUUACUUCCCUGAUGACUGGCCCCAAAACUCUCUGGACUAUAGAAAUAUGGGCUCAAAGACUAGACCCAGCCACCAGGUGUAUAUAUACACAACCUUAUCUCAUAUCUAUCUGCAACAUGUACAGC